rnacentral:rRNA from 1 species
CAGCAGCCACGGUAAUACGUAGGGUGCAAGCGUUAAUCGGAAUUACUGGGCGUAAAGCGUGCGCAGGCGGUUUGUUAAGACAGAUGUGAAAUCCCCGGGCUCAACCUGGGAACUGCAUUUGUGACUGGCAAGCUAGAGUGUGGCAGAGGGGGGUGGAAUUCCGCGUGUAGCAGUGAAAUGCGUAGAUAUGCGGAGGAACACCGAUGGCGAAGGCAGCCCCCUGGGCCAACACUGACGCUCAUGCACGAAAGCGUGGGGAGCAAACAGGAUUAGAGACCCCUGUAGUCCCUGUCUCUUAUAA